rnacentral:miRNA from 1 species
CGAGGAGUGUCCGUGCUUCAU